UUUUCGCGUCUUUUUACCCGGUUCGGACGAAUUCUGCGCACCAAUAAGUAUCAGAACUAUCGAAUUUAACGACGGACGAUCGUCUCGUUGUGUUAACGAGAUUCUCGCGGUCAUAAUUAGUGCGUCUCGGUAAUCGCGAUCGGUACGUGCCUUAAUGGCUACAUCGCCUUUAUUGGAAGGGUCCAUUUUUCCAACGCGCAUUUCACGUACAUAUUUCGCAACAUUCGCUCGUCGGGCGAGCAUUCCGAGUGCUAUCUAGCAUCCGAAGCAUCGCGGAGGAUCGAAAGACAACGAAAGGAGCAUCGUCGAGAAUAUCGAGGAAUUCGCGAAUCUCUCGGUAAUCGCGACCGUACGUGAAUUAUCGCUGGAUCGCCAUUAUUGGACUGAUCCAUUUUCUAAUCCGCGCAUUCCACGUACAUAUAUCGGAAUAUUCGCGCGUUCGACGAAUAUUCCGAGCGCUAUUUAUUAUCUGAAUCAUCUUGGAGCAUCGAAAUACAUCGAAAGAAGCAUCGUCGAGGAUAUCGAGGAAUUAUCAUAAUGGACUAAUUAACGCAAGUGAUCCUUGGUCGCGAACGUUCGAUAUUCGUCCGCCAUGACAGUGACGUAUGCACAGUGCAAGCUCCUAAUAUCAGACGGAACGCGUGGUAACAAGUGUCUGGGAGUAUCGGGUGCAUAGACUUCUAGAUAGAGUGCGCGCUCCAAUUAAGGGUAAGAAGAUGGCAUUAGCAAGAGGGGAAACUCAGUAAGAGGGCACUACUUGAUCUAACUCUCCCCACCAAUCGUGCAGUAUCUAUGCCCGGGAUUCUACGGACAUUUCAGUGUGUUGGUAAUCCACAUAAUCACGAUCGAACGUUUCCCGAUAUACAUAACCACAGUGUUAAUGACGUUCGUUAAUCGCCGUUUGUUGAAAAAUUUUAUUUAUGGAUACAUUUAUUAUUCGCGAGUGUAAUCGUGUGUCAAGAGUGUCGAAUAAAAAUUACGGGCGAUUCAAUAUGUCAGCUGAUCCGCGCAAUCACGAUCGAACAUUUUCCAAUAAACAUAAUUACAAUAUUAAUCGCGUUUCGUCAAAUUGCGGUUCGUUGAAAAACUACAUUCGUUAUUCGCGAGUGUAAUCGUGUAUCGGGUGUCGAAUAAAUCUACGGACAUUUAAGUGACUUAAUUGAUCGAACGUUUUUCGUACAUAACCGCAAUAAUGAUCGUGUCUGCGUAAAAUCGAAAGACUUAUUUAUGGACACAUUCGUUAUUCGCGAGUGUAAUCGUGUAUCGGGAGUGUCGAAUAAGUCUCGGGCGAUCGUUUAAUUAGCAUUAAUUAAUCUGUCUGAUCGAAUAGACUUUUCGAUAUCGAUGACAGAUCACUCGCGUUUCGUUGUGGAUCAUGUCUGUUGGAAAAUUCAUUUAAAAAUAUGCCUGUUUCGUGUGAUUGAGAAUGAUUAUUCGCGAGUGAUCAAGUGGAUUUCAAGUGCAUCGGAGAGCAUCGAGGGACAUUGAGCGGCUUCGAGAGAUAAUGGAUUAUUGCAGACAGGGUGCAGGUGGAGACAGAGGAUUGUAUUCGUCUACGGCAAAAGAUCAACAAUGUGUGCACUACAAAUCCGCUGCUGCGCAUCAUACCGG